CACUACCUCGAUCUCCAAAACAUCAAUGCUAGAAGAAAACAAUCUGCAAACUGCUACUCAGUCCAAUAUCAGCACGAGGUGCAGAAAAACAAGGAAAAGAACAGAGAAGCAAGGGUGAGUAUGACAUCACAUGUACUCAGCAAGCACCGUCGAUAACCGACCCUAAUCCAAAGCGAUGGCGAGAACCAACACCCCAACUACCCAAGGUUACCCCUACAAUCUAUACAAUCUAUAUCCCGCAGUUACAUCAUUUCUUCCUCUCAGGUAACCCAACACAG
rnacentral:lncRNA from 1 species